rnacentral:tRNA from 1 species
GGGGAUGUAGCUCAGCUGGUAGAGUGUGUGUCUUGUAUCCACAAGGCCCUGGGAUUGAUCCCCAGCACCA